UACGGAGGGUGCAAGCGUUAUCCGGAUUCACUGGGUUUAAAGGGUGCGUAGGUGGUCUAUUAAGUCAGUGCUGAAAUAUCCCGGCUUAACCGGGAGGGUGGCAUUGAUACUGAUGGACUUGAGUGGAGUCGAGGUAGGCGGAAUUGACGGUGUAGCGGUGAAAUGCUUAGAUAUCGUCAAGAACACCGAUAGUGCAGACAGCUUACUAGGCCCUAACUGACACUGAGGCACGAAAGUGUGGGGAUCAAACAGG
rnacentral:rRNA from 1 species